AUGAACGCUGGCGGCGUGCCUAAUACAUGCAAGUCGAGCGAACGGACGAGAAGCUUGCUUCUCUGAUGUUAGCGGCGGACGGGUGAGUAACACGUGGAUAACCUACCUAUAAGACUGGGAUAACUUCGGGAAACCGGAGCUAAUACCGGAUAAUAUUUUGAACCGCAUGGUUCAAAAGUGAAAGACGGUCUUGCUGUCACUUAUAGAUGGAUCCGCGCUGCAUUAGCUAGUUGGUAAGGUAACGGCUUACCAAGGCAACGAUGCAUAGCCGACCUGAGAGGGUGAUCGGCCACACUGGAACUGAGACACGGUCCAGACUCCUACGGGAGGCAGCAGUAGGGAAUCUUCCGCAAUGGGCGAAAGCCUGACGGAGCAACGCCGCGUGAGUGAUGAAGGUCUUCGGAUCGUAAAACUCUGUUAUUAGGGAAGAACAUAUGUGUAAGUAACUGUGCACAUCUUGACGGUACCUAAUCAGAAAGCCACGGCGAACUACGU
rnacentral:rRNA from 1 species